CUCAGCCUAUUCUCAAACUUCGAAUGGGUAAGCAAGGCGUUUUGCUUUGAUUUUACGAUGAAAUCGCCCAAUUAGAAUGUAUAAAUGCCUAGUGGGCCAAUUUUGGUAAGCAGAACUGGCGAUGUGGAAUGAACCAAAAGUCAGGUUAAGGUGCCAGACAUUGGCGCUCAUGAAAUACCAGAAAAGGUGUUGGUCGAUAUAGACAGCAGGACGGUGGCCAUGGAAGUUGGAAUCCGCCAAGGAGUGUGUAACAACUCACCUGCCGAAUCGACUAGCCCUGAAAAUGGAUAGCGUUUGAGCUCCAGGCCCAUACCUGACCGUCUCAAUUACGCACUUUUUUUUCGGAAAAGGUGUAAUGAACGUUGAGACGGGUAGGAAGGUCGCGACAGUGUUGCUUUGAAGAGUUUUGAGCGUGAGCUCGCUCGGAGCCGCUGUUGGUGCAGAUCUUGGUGGUAGUAGCAAAUAUUCAAGUGAGAACCUUGAAGGCUGAAGUGGAGCAAGGUUCCAUGUGAACCAUAGUUUCUACAUGGGUCA
rnacentral:ncRNA from 1 species